AAUGACAAGCUUUACAAUUUUCAUGAAGAGCUUAGCUUCGAAAUUCGCCUCUAUAAUCAUAUAAAUCAUAGAUCAAAAUUUAACCGUUGAUUGUUGUUUAUAUUUACGUUUCAUUGUUCUCAUCAAAUUUUGUUUUUUCAUAUUUUCUUUUUUGAAAACUUGAUCUAUUAGAGGAUGCAGGAAGAUGAACGGUUUGGAUCGAUGAUAUUAUAUUCAGAGUUUUACGGUUAGUGAAAAUAUUGCUUGAUGUUUAUAAAAUUUCUACAAAUUAUAUGACAUCGACUCAUAUUUCAGCUAACCGUAAAUAUUGAAACGUGAUAUCAAAAAUCUGAACCGUUCCUCUUCUUACAUCCGCCAGUUGAUCAUGUUUUCAAAAAAGAAAAUUUUAAAAAUGAAAUUCAGUAAGAAGAAUAAAGCGUAAAUGACAAUCGACAGUUAAAUAUAAAUUUAAGGUUUAUGAACUAUAGUGUUGGAUUUCGAAGCUGACCCGUUCAUGAAAGCUGUAAAGUUUGUCACUAUGAGUGAUUGUAUUUUUUUUUUUUUUUUACAUUUUUCACACUUCUGCAAUAAUUAUUAUUAAUUUUAUUAAUUUUGCCCUCAAAUAAACAACAUUAUUCAUGAAGGUUUGGAGGAUUUUAAAAAUCUAAACGAUAAUGUAAGUGUAACCAUUAUCUACUCGUGGAUGAAUAAUGAUGAAUCACGAGUGUUU
rnacentral:lncRNA from 1 species